rnacentral:siRNA from 1 species
GGACAAUGCCACUAUUAUUGUU